rnacentral:rRNA from 1 species
CCUACGGGUGGCAGCAGUGAGGAAUAUUGGUCAAUGGCCGCAAGUCUGAACCAGCCAAGUCGCGUGAAGGAAGAAGGAUCUCUGGUUUGUAAACUUCUUUUAUAGGGGAAUAAAGGUAUCCACGUGUGGAUAUUUUCAUGUAUCCUAUCAAUAAGCAUCCGCUAACUCCGUGCCAGCAGCCGCGGUAAUACGGAGGAUGCGAGCGUUAUCCGGAUUUAUUGGGUUUAAAGGGUGCGUAGGGUGUUUUUUAAGUCAGCGGUGAAAGUUUGUGGCUUAACCAUAAAAUUGCCGUUGAAACUGGAAGACUUGAGUGUGUUUGAGGAUGGCGGAAUGCGUGGUGUAGCGGUGAAAUGCAUAGAUAUCACGCAGAACUCCGAUUGCGAAGGCAGCUUACUAAGCCAUAACUGACACUGAGGCACGAAAGCGUGGGGAUCAAACAGGAUUAGAUACCCCAGUAGUC